AUUGAACGCUGGCGGCAGGCCUAACACAUGCAAGUCGAACGGUAGCACAGAGAGCUUGCUCUCGGGUGACGAGUGGCGGACGGGUGAGUAACGUCUGGGAAACUGCCCGAUGGAGGGGGAUAACUACUGGAAACGGUAGCUAAUACCGCAUAACGUCGCAAGACCAAAGUGGGGGACCCUCGGGCCUCACACCAUCGGAUGUGCCCAGAUGGGAUUAGCUAGUAGGUGGGGUAAUGGCUCACCUAGGCGACGAUCCCUAGCUGGUCUGAGAGGAGGACCAGCAACACUGGAACUGAGACACGGUCCAGACUCCUACGGGAGGAAGCAGUGGGGAAUAUUGCACAAUGGGCGCAAGCCUGAUGCAGCCAUGCCGCGUGUAUGAAGAAGGCCUUCGGGUUGUAAAGUACUUUCAGCGGGGAGGAAGGCGGUGGAGUUAAUAACUUCACCGAUUGACGUUACCCGCAGAAGAAGCACCGGCUAACUCCGUGCCAGCAGCCGCCGUAA
rnacentral:rRNA from 1 species